AGUGAACGCUGGCGGUAGGCCUAACACAUGCAAGUCGAACGGCAGCACAGUAAGAGCUUGCUCUUACGGGUGGCGAGUGGCGGACGGGUGAGGAAUACAUCGGAAUCUACUUUUUCGUGGGGGAUAACGUAGGGAAACUUACGCUAAUACCGCAUACGACCUACGGGUGAAAGCAGGGGAUCUUCGGACCUUGCGUGAUUGAAUGAGCCGAUGUCGGAUUAGCUAGUUGGCGGGGUAAAGGCCCACCAAGGCGACGAUCCGUAGCUGGGCUGAGAGGAUGAUCAGCCACACUGGAACUGAGACACGGUCCAGACUCCUACGGGAGGCAGCAGUGGGGAAUAUUGGACAAUGGGCGCAAGCCUGAUCCAGCCAUACCGCGUGGGUGAAGAAGGCCUUCGGGUUGUAAAGCCCUUUUGUUGGGAAAGAAAAGCAGCAGGUUAAUACCCCGCUGUUCUGACGGUACCCAAAGAAUAAGCACCGGCUAACUUCGUG
rnacentral:rRNA from 1 species